rnacentral:misc_RNA from 1 species
GAUGAAGAACGUAGCGAAAUGCGAUAAGUAAUGUGAAUUGCAGAAUUCAGUGAAUCAUCGAAUCUUUGAACGCAUCUUGCGCUCCUUGGUAUUCCGAGGAGCAUGCCUGUUUGAGUGUCAUUAAAGUUCUCAACCACACAUACUACAUAUGUGGCUUGGAUGUGGGGGUUUGCAGGCUUUCUCUGAGGGUCUGCUCCUCUGAAAUGCAUUAGUGGUAUUCCUGAGCUUUACUACAGAUGUGAUAAUUUAUCUACAUCCCAAAAGUAUGCUUCAGCAACUCCGCUCCUAACAAGCGAAAGCACAUUUUGAUGAAUUUGACCUCAAAUCAGGUAGGACUACCCGCUGAACUUAAGCAUAUCAAUAAGCGGAGGA